rnacentral:rRNA from 1 species
AACGAGGUAGAGAUACGUUAGGUGCCCUUCGGGGAAAGCGGAGACAGGUGGUGCAUGGUUGUCGUCAGCUCGUGUCGUGAGAUGUUGGGUUAAGUCCCGCAACGAGCGCAACCCUUACGGUUAGUUGCUACGCAAGAGCACUCUAGCCGGACCGCCGUUGACAAAACGGAGGAAGGUGGGGAUGAUGUCAAAUCAUCAUGCCCCUUAUGACCUGGGCCUCACACGUACUACAAUGGCCGUUAACAGAGGGAAGCAAAGCCGCGAGGCAGAGCAAAACCCCAAAAACGGUCUCAGUUCGGAUCGUAGGCUGCAACCCGCCUGCGUGAAGUUGGAAUUGCUAGUAAUCGCGGAUCAGCAUGCCGCGGUGAAUACGUUCCCGGGCCUUGUACACACCGCCCGUCACACCAUGGGAGCCGGUAAUGCCCGAAGUCAGUAGCCUAACCGCAAGGAGGGCGCUGCCGAAGGUAGGAUUGGCGACUGGGGUGAAGUCGUAACAAGGUAGCCGUAUCGGAAGGUGCGGUUGGA